UACGUAGGGGGCAAGCGUUGUCCGGAAUCAUUGGGCGUAAAGCGCGUGUAGGCGGCCCGAUAAGUCCGCUGUGAAAGUCCAGGGCUCAACCCUGGGAUGCCGGUGGAUACUGUCGGGCUCGAGUCCGGAAGAGGCGAGUGGAAUUCCUGGUGCAGCGGUGAAAUGCGCAGAUAUCAGGAGGAACACCAAUGGCGAAGGCAGCUCGCUGGGACGUGACUGACGCUGAGACGCGAAAGCGUGGGGAGCAAACAGG
rnacentral:rRNA from 1 species